AAGGCCCAGUCAGGGUCCAGGAUGGAGCUGGAACAAGGACUUUCUGCCCCAGCCAAUUCCUGUGCUAGCUCCCCAGAGCCCUUGGGUGGGCUCGAUGGUGCACCCCUAGAGCAGAGAAGACCUACACAUGUGAAGAAGCGGCCUUGGACAAGUCCAGAUGACUCAAGCCAGGAUCACGCAGAGGGAGCCAGUAAAAAGGAUUUUCCCAGACUGGAGGCGCGAGUGCCCCGGGGGGUGAAGACUGUAUACUAUGUAGGUGCUUCUUCUUCAUCGUCAUCCUUCAUCCUGCUUUGCCCUGGAGUGUGGGUGGG
rnacentral:lncRNA from 1 species